GACCACGAACGCUUUGCGGCGGCGAAAGUCGAAGUGGUAUGAAUCCUGGGGUCGGAGGUUCGAAUCCUCUCGUGGACACCA
rnacentral:tRNA from 1 species